rnacentral:lncRNA from 1 species
GGGAAGAGCCAUCUAAGUUUCAACCAGAAAGAUUUUUGACAAGGCACAAGGAUAUUUAUGUUAAGGGACAAAAUUUUGAAUUGUUACCUUUUAGUAGUGGCAGAAGAAUGUGUCCUAGAGUGUCAUUUUCCCUCCAAGUUAUGCAAUUUACACUUGCUUCUCUACUUCAGGGAUUUGAUUUUGCAACCCGAUCUAAUGAACCGGUGGACAUGGGUGAAGGAUUGGGGUUGACCAUGGAGAAAUCUCAAUCAUUUGAAGUACUUGUUACUCCAUGUCUUUCUGCUGCCUUCUACGACUAAAUUGAUUAUAUAUAUAUAGAUUGACCAAUAAAUAAGUGACAAGUGUGUGGUGUCACAUGUAGUGAGUUGUAAAGUCAAUUCCUUAAAGAUAAGGAUGUACUGUGUGAUAUAAUGUAAAUAAGUUAUGAGUCAUAAAGUAGAUUCCCUAGAGAUAAGAUGUAAUGAUGUAAAUAAUAAAAAAAGAUUCCCUUAGUGCCUAUAAAAGGGACUCCCUGGGAGUGUGUUGGAUCAUUGAAAUCUUAUAAUAUAGAGUUAUAGUAAGAAUACUUGGGUGAAACCUUGUAUUCUCUCUUCCAGUAAUAAAACCAUCCUUUGUAUUUUCUGUCUUUAUAACUUGGUAUCAGAGCCAGUACUCCCAAAAGGAGUUUUCUAAGCCCUUCUAUAAUAAAGUAUGCUCUGUGGUCGCCGUUGAAAUGAAUCUUCCACAACAGAAACAUUAUAGAAGACUAGAAAGCAUGUGUUCCCAAAACUAGGUUAUUUGAUCAAGAGCUACAUAGAAAAGAUUUCUUUGAAAAGGCGUGGCACCUUAUUUUUAGUAAGUGACAAGAGUGUUGUGUCACAUGUAGUGAGUUGUAAAGUAGAUUCCUUAGAGAUAAGGAUGUACUAUGUGAUGUAAUGUAAAGAAGUGACAAAAGUAUGGUGUCACAUGUAAUGAGUUGUAAAGUAGAUUCCUUACAGAUAAGGAUGUACUGUAUGAUGUAAUGUAAAGAAAUGAUGAGUCAUAAAGUAGAUUCCCUAUAGAUAAGUUGUAAUUAUGUAAAUAGUAAAAGGAGAUUCUGUCAGUGCCUAUAAAAGGGACUCCCUAGGAGUGUGUUGGAUCAUCGAGUCCUGGAGUCUUGUAAUAUAGAGUUGUAGUAAUAAAACCUUUGAUAAGGCAUGAUCCAUCCUUCUUUAUAUGAAGGCAAGUGGAUGAAGAAGAUAUAAAAAAUUUAGUUCACUUGCAAGCCAUUCUCAAAGAAGCAUUCCGUUUGUAUCCUGCUGUGCCAUUCUUAGUUCCUCAUGAGUCUAUGGAAGAGUGCACAAUUAAUGGUUACCAUGUCCCUGCCCGCACACAACUUUUUAUCAAUGCUUGGAAAAUUCAACGUGAUCCAAGUGUUUGGGAAGAGCCAUCUAAGUUUCAACCAGAAAGAUUUUUGACAAGGCACAAGGAUAUUUAUGUUAAGGGACAAAAUUUUGAAUUGUUACCUUUUAGUAGUGGCAGAAGAAUGUGUCCUAGAGUGUCAUUUUCCCUCCAAGUUAUGCAAUUUACACUUGCUUCUCUACUUCAGGGAUUUGAUUUUGCAACCCGAUCUAAUGAACCGGUGGACAUGGGUGAAGGAUUGGGGUUGACCAUGGAGAAAUCUCAAUCAUUUGAAGUACUUGUUACUCCAUGUCUUUCUGCUGCCUUCUACGACUAAAUUGAUUAUAUAUAUAUAGAUUGACCAAUAAAUAAGUGACAAGUGUGUGGUGUCACAUGUAGUGAGUUGUAAAGUCAAUUCCUUAAAGAUAAGGAUGUACUGUGUGAUAUAAUGUAAAUAAGUUAUGAGUCAUAAAGUAGAUUCCCUAGAGAUAAGAUGUAAUGAUGUAAAUAAUAAAAAAAGAUUCCCUUAGUGCCUAUAAAAGGGACUCCCUGGGAGUGUGUUGGAUCAUUGAAAUCUUAUAAUAUAGAGUUAUAGUAAGAAUACUUGGGUGAAACCUUGUAUUCUCUCUUCCAGUAAUAAAACCAUCCUUUGUAUUUUCUGUCUUUAUAACUUGGUAUCAGAGCCAGUACUCCCAAAAGGAGUUUUCUAAGCCCUUCUAUAAUAAAGUAUGCUCUGUGGUCGCCGUUGAAAUGAAUCUUCCACAACAGAAACAUUAUAGAAGACUAGAAAGCAUGUGUUCCCAAAACUAGGUUAUUUGAUCAAGAGCUACAUAGAAAAGAUUUCUUUGAAAAGGCGUGGCACCUUAUUUUUAGUAAGUGACAAGAGUGUUGUGUCACAUGUAGUGAGUUGUAAAGUAGAUUCCUUAGAGAUAAGGAUGUACUAUGUGAUGUAAUGUAAAGAAGUGACAAAAGUAUGGUGUCACAUGUAAUGAGUUGUAAAGUAGAUUCCUUACAGAUAAGGAUGUACUGUAUGAUGUAAUGUAAAGAAAUGAUGAGUCAUAAAGUAGAUUCCCUAUAGAUAAGUUGUAAUUAUGUAAAUAGUAAAAGGAGAUUCUGUCAGUGCCUAUAAAAGGGACUCCCUAGGAGUGUGUUGGAUCAUCGAGUCCUGGAGUCUUGUAAUAUAGAGUUGUAGUAAUAAAACCUUUGAUAAGGCAUGAUCCAUCCUUCUUUAUAUGGGAGUGAAACAAAAUAAUUUUCUCUAGAUCAGAACUUGUUUGGAAUAUCUGCACAGCACUGUAAAAGUUCUUUGUGCUGGAUUUCAAAUUUCUAGAAUUGAGAUUUUUGGAUUUACCUCUUAUCACCCCUCCAAAAAAUGGACUGUUGCUCAACCCAUGGAAUCAUGAAGAAAUGGACUUUUGAUCAACAGGAUUGGUAAUUGUAUAACCAAAACCUUCUGGAUGGAAAGUGAAUGAGGCAAUAAGACUCAAGAAAUCUGUUCUAAGUAGUAGAUCUUCUCCUGAAGAGUUAUAAGUGAAGAAACUAAUCACCACUUGUUGCUGCAAAGCUAACUUGUAUCAGUACAUGGUACCUUUUGGGUAGAUAAUUUCCACAGAUGAUUGAAGAAACAGCUCCAGUAUCAAUUAAGGUAGUGAAAGCAAUCUGUUUAUUAUCUGAUAACUAGAGGAUGACUUUGACAUAGGGUUUGAAUGCUGAUGUUGACUGCAUUUUUAGAUCAAUAGGCUAUUCUUUAGAAAUAUUUAGAACUUGUUCAUCAUUUGAAGAUUCUUCUGGCUCGUUUGACUCGCUGGAUGUAUCAGACUUUUGAGACUGUGAGUCAAUUGCGAGUAAUGCCUGUUUAGGAUUGUCAGACUAUUCAUAGUACUCAUCAUCAAACUCUGGAUCUUCAAUGAGUUGAAGUAGCUUGGUCAAACUCCUCUUCUUGGGUUUGCAUUAUUUUGCAAUAAUGUCCUUUCUUGCCACAAAUGAAACAUCUGCAUGACCUUUUCUAGAACUUUUUUCUUUUGACAAAGCGGAGCUUCUUGCUUUUGUAUGGUCUCCAGGGUUUUGUUUUCUUGCUGUGAAACUUCUUCGAACAAUAACAUGAGCUGCUUGUUUCAUGGCAACUAAAUUUGUUGCGUUUGUCAUUGCAGUAUUUGGACAAAGAGGAUUUCUUUAUCUGCUUCAUGUACUUCCUUAAUUCUUGAUUCCUGCAAUGAUUCUGGAUCGACAACAUAGUAUUGUCAUUGCAGUAUUUGGACAAAGAGGAUUUCUCUAUCUGCUUCAUGUGCUUUCUUAGUUAUUGAUUUCUCUAUCUGUGGGCUUUUGGAAGAUAUAGUAAAGUCGUUGCUGCUCCAUGUAGUAUUCUUUAAGCUUUUAAACAUCACAGCAAUUGUUCUAGAGGAAUUGUUUUUCUUGGCAACUGUGUUUUUCUUGGUCCGGAUCUAAAGAAAUCUGUUGUAAAAGUUUCUAAAACAACAGCACAAGGGUCUGGUCGGGAUAACAUACAUUCUCGUUGGAUUGGUGUCAAGAUGUUACUCCACUAUAACCUAAGCGAUCCAGUAAAGCCUGCUACUAAUCUAUGCAUAGUUGCUCUUCUGGUUAGCUGUGGUGUCUUUGGCAUUCUCCUUCAUACCAUGCUAUCAUUUGUUCAAUGUAAGGAAUUUUGUCUUGUAGUUUGAUAUUAUAAAUAUUCCAAAUGACUUUUCCUUGAGGAGAAUGUGAAAUCUGGACUCGUGUUUCCUAUUCUUAGCAUUGUUCUUCUUCUUCACCCAUUUGUUCUUGUUGAUGUUCUUACCGAGAUUGUUGUGGCUGUCUUUUUGGAGGAUCUGAAGAUGUUACUCCUGAGUGUUGGCCUGUCUCGAAGGUAAAUGGUACUGUGAACCUUGUCCUUGUGUCAACAUAUCUUGGAUUGGCAGGAUAUUGAGGUCUUCCUUCCAUUAUUAUUGGUCUUCUAAAAGAGCAAAAUGAAUCUACAGUUGGAUUGGAUUCAGAUGAACUUUCUGAAUCUUCCUAACUUGUAACUAUAACCGGCCAUGGUUGUGCUGGUGGCAUCUCAUAGCUUCUUUAGAAUGCUUUGGUGUUGUUGCCAAUGGAGCUUUCUUCCAAUAUAUAAGCUGGUUUGGAAGGCUUGUCAUUUUUCCAGGAAGUUUUCUUUUGUUUUCUUUUAUAGUAGUCCUGGUAGCAUUACACGGCUCUCCUUAUUUCUUCUUCACUAUCGGCUCAUGUCUGAGCAAACAUUGUUAUUCUUCUGGGUUUUUCAUGCCAUUCUGACAGCUGUCUGUUUGUGAAUCUUUGGGCUUUUUCGAGUUUUCUUGAUUUGUUUCUGCAGUUUCUGUAUCCGGUUUCAUGGUUAAUCCAUUUAUCUAGACUAACACUUUUAUGGUUUGAGGAAGGGUUGGCUUGUGUAGGUCAAGGGUAAAAUUUGGUUCCACCUGCUCAACUACAUGUCCUUGGUUGAGUCCCACCUCAACUGCUGAGAUUAAAGCCUUUCCAAAAGUUUGCCAUCUUGGAUCAAGAAUGGCGAGAAAGCAAGUGACAUUUUUGCCUGCAAGAAAUAAAGGCUGGAUUCUAAGUCUGAUUGCACCAAGAUGCAAUCCUCUAUAUCCUUCAAUCAUAUAUUUCUUGACGUCUUGAGGAGAGAGAAUAUAAAGAUAGGUUUCUAUGGAACUAGAGGAGAUAGAUUAUACUGCAACUUCAGAAGACUUAUAUACAGACUUGAGUUUCGGCUGACGAAAAGGAACAACAUAUUUAAACAGGACAUCCAAACACUUCUGGACCUUAAGCUCAUCAGGCCCUCUAAAUCUCAUUAGGCCAGCCCAGAACAAGCAUUCGGAGCAAGUUCGUGGAAAGAAAAGAUUAGUGAUUGACUACAGGAAGCUGAAUGAUUGCCUAGAAUACAUUAGGUAUCCAAUAACUUUGCUUCCACUCAACUAGUGCUGCUUCUCUCUAUAGACGAUGCGAGGUGACACCAAUCGAACGAGAAUAUAUGUUAUCCCGAACAGACCCUUGUGCUGCUGUUUUGGAAACUCUUACAACAGAUUUCUUUGGAUCCGGACCAAGAGAAACACAGUUGGUAGAAAAACAAUUCCUCCAAAACAAAUCUAUGCGUUUGUCUUCCAACCCAAUUUAUUCUUUCAUCAUGUCAUUGAUAAAGACACAAUUUGGGGACAUUAUGUGAUUUGUGAUGCUAUGCCACGAGCAUAUUAUUCUUUCUGGCUACUCCUCAAAAUGUAUUCCAUGGCUAUUCUAGAAGAGAGAAUACAAGGUUUCACCCAAGUAAUCUUACUACAACUGAUAUAAAGACCCUAAUUUCCUCCAUAAAAUCAGUUGUUCCUUUUCGUUAGCCUAAACUCAAGUUUGUAUAUAAGUCUUCUGAAGUUAUUGUACAAUUUAUCUCCUCUAGUUCUAAAGAAACGAUCAACAAGACUGGUAAUUAUAUAACCAAAUCCUUCUAGAUGGAAAGUGAGUAGUGUUAGCCUAAAGGGCAACACAUAAUGUAAUUUUGAUGAUAACAAACAUGUGUCUUGAUUGAUUUAAUAAAUAUUGUAUUUCACAUUUUCACUAGUUUUUGAAGGAUAAUAUUUAUGCAAGUGAAAUUAAGUUGAAGACACUCAACGGAUAACGAUGAAAUCAAGAAUAAAGUUUAGAGCUCAACAAACAAAUUAUUGCAAUAAAUUCUUGUAAAGUUAGUAUGAUUUAAUUGAUGCAUGAUUUAACAUUUGAGAAGCUCAGGAGAUUAAUUUAAAUAAUUACUUUUCAUAAACUAAAAGAUUUUAUUUUUAUAAGAUAGAGUAUUUUGUGGAUUUAAGUAAUUUGGACUUAAAUGAAAAGUUUGGCAAUCUUUGAAUUUAAUAAGUAUUAUUUUGAAUUCCGAAGUUGGACUUUUUUGCAAACAUUUGAAAUAUUUUGGGCCAUAUUAUAAUUUAUAAAAGUUUGAGGACCCGAAUAUAAUUCAAACAUUUGAAAUCCAAAAUUGGACAGAGAGUGAGCAGCUAAUAGCCUGAGGCUAGCGGCUAGCCGUCUGAGGAAAGUCUCAUAUUUUCAAAUUUUGACUAAAGUGAAAGGUUUUGAGAACUUUGAAAGAUAUAGGUAUUAUGUUGAACUUUGAAAAGGACCUCUUUCAAAAGUACUACUAUAUUUGUGGCCAUAUCACAAUUUCAUAAAGGUUUGGUACGACAAGUAUUAUUUAAAAAUUCCAAAUUUGGACUUGUUUGCAAACGUUUAUGAUGAUUUGGGUCAUAGUAUAAUUAUAGAAAGUUUUAGGCCAAAGUGUAUUUUGGUGAACAGUGUUACUGUAGCAAAAUUCAAACAUAACGGUAAUAUCACUGUUACAAGUGGUUAGCCGGAUAAAUCAAACGGCUAACCGCUUGGUUGCAGGAAUUUGCUUAUAACGGCUAGUUUUUGGGUUUUAACUAUAAAAACUCAAUUCCAACUUCAUUUUAAACUCUCUAGCAAGCACAAACAAGUUUGAACAACAUAUUUUGAGCUUUUAAUUCACAAAUCAUCAUAGAUUAAAUCUUUAUUGUGCUAUUAUUUGCGUAUCCACUCUAAAAGAGAGUUCUUUGUUGUAAUCAUUAUUUUCCCAUCAAAUUUGUGAGUGUGUAAGUGUGAGAAACACUUGAGUGAAGAGAUUGGGAGACAAUUUCUUAGUUGUAAAGGUUUAUUGACACCUUGGAAGUCAAUUGUAAAGAACUUGAAGCCUUGGGAGGCUUGGAUAGUGAAAUCCUCGAGCUUGGUUUGCUUGGCGGCGUGGACGUAGGUCGGGAUUGCCGAAUCACGUAAAAAUUAUUAUGUUUGCUCUCUCUUCCCUUACUCUUUUAUUAUUGUGCAUUAUUCAACUUAUUGUUUUUAAUUUGAUUAAGGCAAUAGAUUAAAUUAUUGUGCAAAUUGUUUAACAUAAGUUUUAAAAUCUCAAUUCACCCCCCUCUUGGGUUGCAUAACUUGCAUUUCAAAUAGGGCAAUGAGACUCAAGAAAUAUGUUCCAAGUAGUAGAUCUUCUCCUGAAGAGUCAUAAGCGAAGAAACUAUUUCUUUUAGCAAAUGGUAAAAUUCAAUAGGUUUAGUGUACUUAUGAUUAUAGAAUUGAUCACCACUUGCUGCUGCAAAGCUAACUUGUGUCGGUACAUGGUAUCUUUUGGGUAGACAAUUUCCACGGAUGAUUGAAGAAACAACUCCGACCAAAUGGCAUCACGUUCCAUUCAUAGUGUCCAUAUGGCACUACAAAUGAUGUCUUAUGCCUAUCGUCAUCUUUGAUCCCAAUAUGCCAAAAUCCUAACUUCAAAUCGAACUUUGAAUAAACUUUAGGACCCAAGUAUUCUUACUACAACUAUGGGAUGAUGUGUCCAUCUUUGAUGUGAAGUCCCAAAAAAUCAAUCUUGUCAAGUCCAAUCUUCAUUUUGGAUUCAGAUAACGCCAAGCCAUGUCACCGCGCAUGGUCUACAGAGAGAAGCAUUGGGGACGAGACAAACCACCUCUAGUUCGAGUUUUAUAAAACUUUCAAAAAUCUAAAAAUCUCCAAUCCAGAAAUUUGAAAUCCAGCACAAAGAACUUCUAAUGCCCACCUGUAGUUACCAUAUCUUUGCCAGCACGCAGUUUUUUAUCAAUGCCUGUCAACUUCAACGUGAUCCACGUAUCCGGGAAGAGCAAUGUAAGGUUCAACCAGAAACAUUUUUGACAAGGCACAAGGAUAUUGAUGUUAGGGGACAACAUUUUGAAUUAUUAUCUCGUGGUGGUGGAGGAAUGUGUUCUGGAGUGUCAUUUUGCCCUCCAAGUUAUGCAAUUUACACUUGCUCCUUUACUUGAAGGCUUUGAUUUUGCAACGCCAUCUAAUAAACCGUUGGACAUGGGUGAAGGAUUAGGGUUGACUGUGGAGAAAUUUGCACCACUUGAAGUACUUCAAAAUUGACUACAACACUUCAAAAUUGAAUUUCAUUUGUUUAAAAAUUUUGAAGAUUGGGGGGUGGAAUAGGGAAGGAAGAUGGUUGAUUAUUAAAGAUUCUUUAUGAUGUAAACUAGAAAAUCGAAAGGAUCGCAUGUACCUCAUUAAAGUUAAAAUCUUAACAAGAUUCUUUAUGAUGUAAACUAGAAAAUCUUAUGAUGUAAACUAGAAAAUCGAAAGGAUCGCAUGUACCUCAUUAAAGUUAAAAUCUUAACAUAUUAAGUUCCCUUUGUAAAUAUCUUUUUAAGGUACUCAAAAGGAAAAUUUUAAGAUUUUAAAUGGUAAGAAAAUAAAACAUUGAUUUCAAUGCCCUAAAUGAGUGCUCAGAGUAAUAAUAUUAUAUAUGUGCAUAAUUAAGUGUCCUUAAAAAUAAUUUAUCGCAUGGAUAUUUUUGUAGUAAAUUUUUUUAUAAAAAUAUAAGUAUUAAGAGUAAUUUUUAGAGUACAUAUAGCCCUGCUCUUAACAGAAAUAUAUGGUAAUAUUUUAUUUUAAAAAAUAAAAAAGGAUGCUGGGAAUACAAUACCGUUUUGCAAGGACAUAAAGGGGCACACUAAUUAUUCUCCCUCAUCCCCCUUGCAACUUCUUCUAUUGGUAGUUCUAGAUGAUCAGAUUUUAAGGGGAAUGUAGAUAUAAUUCGAUUGGUUUUGAGACACAUUAUUGUAUUCAUUUAUUUAUUUUUCCUAAGCUUUGCCUAAUGAGAUUCAAACCUUUCCCACUCACGUGACGGGCUCAAUCAGGAUCUCUUGAGUCUUGAUCUAUCAAGUAUCACUAAAAGAUUUUUACUAUUUUUUUGGAUUAAAAAAAUUUAUUUAGUUGAAGGAAAAAUCCCCUACACCCUCAAAAUUUUGUUAAAUGAUUACAUAGUCCUUUUGAUUUCAAAAUGAUCGUAUAGACCUUUUUUUUCCUAUUAUAUCCUUUAAUAGUAGCCAAAAUUUUAAAAUGAAUACAAUUACAAUGCUAAUAUAAAACAAAAAAUAAAAUAGCAAAUAAAUAUAAAUAAUUACAAAAAUAAACAUAAUAAUGAAAUAAAAUAUAUAUUAAUCUAUGAAACAAACGCAAAUACUCAUGAAUUUUAUUAGUAUUAAAAUAAAUGCAUUUAAAAUAGAAAAUAAGUAAUAAAAUUUACUUAUAUAUUUUAUUUAUAAUAUUAAACAAUAGAUUAAUAUUAAAUUUUUUUUUAAUAUUAUGUUUUAAUGUUAUUAUACUGCUGUACCGUACAAUUUUAUUUAAAGUCAAAUUUUGGAUUAUCAUAAUUGAAGGGUAUAUUUAUAAAAAAGAGAUUUACAUGAUCAUUUAUGAAACGAAGGGCUAUUUUUUUUUUUUUUGACUUUAUAACUUAAUUGACUUAAUUUCCAUUUAUUAAGUCAUUAAAUCUGCUUAGUUUUUCCAUUUAGUCAAAAAUUUUAGUCGCUAAGUCAUUAAGUUACUAAACCAAUUUUUGUUUUUAGCUUUUUGCUUAAUUUAAAAGUCUGAAUGAUAUCAUUAAAAUAUAUUCAAAAUAUAAUUUCCAUUUAUUAAGUCAUUAAAUCUAUUUAAUUAAUUAAUUUUCAUUCUUACCUAAAUAAAAUUUAAUAAUUAGAAUCAUUACCCAUCCCUAUAACUCGUGAAAAUAUAGUGCAUUGAUAGAAUAUUAUUUUUUAUCUUUUUAUUUUAAUCAAAUUAGCAUUCUUUAUCUUGAUUAACGUACACUAUUUAGAAUAUUAAAGGAUUGUAUUCAAUUGAACAUAAUUUAUGUUAUUAUAAAUAUUAUCUUAUUUAUGCUCUUUGAGAUAUUUAUUAUUUGUUUCACAUUUAUAAUUUAGACGGACGCAAACACAAAAAUAUUAGUUUUCAGAUUUUUAAGUUAAAAUGUAAAUAACUUAAUAUUUAUUUUUAGUGAUUCGGACAAAAGAAUAUUAUUCAAGUUCAGAAAUUUAGUUCUAUUUUGAAUUCAGACUAAUUGAGAUCUGUUCAGAUUUUAGACAAGAAAACAAAUUUUAAGAGAAUUUAUGUAACUAUUUAAGAAAACUUUGAUGGUGGGGUGGCUACUUUCAUUAAUUAAAUUGCUAAUAUCUUGCAUUUUUUUGAGUUGAUAAUAAUAGAGGUGGGUACUGUGCCCGAACCAAUUGGCUCUGUUGCGUGUUAUAUAAUUCAAUAAUAGCAGCGCGCCGUGGCUUCCAACUAAGAUUAGAAAAGAGAAAUAUCUUGGUUAUCUUUUGUAUAAUCUUUAGUAAAUAUUCAAACUUUACUAAAUAUUAAAAUAAACAUAAUAAUGUAAACUAAUUGUAAAAUUUAUUUAACCCAAAGAUUUAUUUAGAAUCUUUAUAUUAGAUACAAGUAUAUUAUUUACUUUUUCUAAAUCAAUAAAUAUAAUAAUUUACAUUUUUAAAACUACUGUAAUGUUUAAAAAAUAUUUUAUUGUUAUUAGUCCAGAAAAAUUGAAUUAUUUAUAUUGUAUUUGUAUUUAUUAAAAAAUAUUAAAGUCAAUUUCUUUGAGUUACUAUAUUUAAAAUGUUUAUGAUAAAAAAUAAUACUUAGUGUUCCUUUUUAAAAACUUAGAGAUUUACAUGACUAUUUUUUUUAAAUUGUAAGAUGUCGGUGAUCUUUUUCAAAUAAAAUGUAAUCUUCAUAUACCUAAAAAAUUACUUAAUAUAUAAGCAAGGCUUGUGAACAUAGAACUGUUAUCCAAACUAUGAUGAAUACAAAGAAUUAAUAUUUCACAACCUCAAUUAUGUUACUCUUAACUAUUCGGAUAGAUAGUGACAUGUUCAUAAUUUUCUUCACUUCAAUCACAACUGUUUCAAUAAUUAUUCUCUAACAUUUGCCAUGAUGGGUUUCUUGGAUUAACUAGUCAAAAGGCCUAGAUAUUGUCGAUGGCGCAUGAACUAAUCAGUGUAUAUUAUCAUUUGGUACGUCAGUGCUGCCUAUUUUCCAUGUUGAAAUACAAUGUUUUAGCUGUAAAUUUUGAUAAUUUAGUACGCAAGUUUACAAAUCUAUUUUGUCUUUGUGCACUUUUUAAUUGUAAUAAUAUAUACUGAUAUACACACAUAUUGCUGCCACGAUUCGCCAAAGGCAGCUGAUCCGUAGCCGAAAAAUCGAUGUAUCGAACCCCUGACCCUAACUUGAAAUUGCUGUCGUUGCCAACUGAAUCGCUGCUCUCUGUCUUUGCUUACAUCUGGCUUCACGAAUCGCUGCCGCUGCCCGCUGCCAACUGAGUUACGAUCUAGCAGCUAUUGCUGCUCUUCGCAUCUGAAUCAUGAUCUAGCAGCCAUCGCCCAUCGGUGCUCUUCAUAGGUGACUCCCAACCUCCAUACCUACCACUUGCCUCGGGUCUGCGGGGAAAAGCUCUCACACUCGAGAUUCUCUUGCCAUCAAACUCUUCGGAAAGAAAAUCGCCUUCCAUUUGGAUGGAGAGGUUUUUGGUCAUCUUUGACGAUGAAUUGCCGUCUCCGGCGGCCAAGGAAGAAUGUAGCACAGAAGCAUAAGAAGAAAAAACAGAGGAGGUAUAGUUUUUAUACAAUUACACAAACUUUUUACGGAGUGCUUUAUAUUCGAGUCUUAAGGACCACCCAUUUGUUAAAAUGCUAAAAAUAUUACGGGGUCGGUUUUACUUUUUUUUUUUUUUUUCAAUUAGCAUGGCAUGCUAAGCACUGACAGUUUGUUCUUUUAUUUCUGUUUUUUAUUUUUGACUUUCUGUGUUAAAUUGAAUUUCAUUUUUUUGUGGAUUUUUCUUUUUUGAAGUUGGAAAAGAAUGAUGGAUGAAAAGCCUGAGAUGCAACUCCUUACAUACAAGUUGCAAGACAUCCUCCCAUGAUGGGAAAGCAUGGUGUAGCAGCUGAAGGGCUCUGGCGCCUUGACACCUUCAACUGGUGCCCAAGACCUUUAAUUCAGAUCAGCCAGAUGCUAUAGAGAUGAUUUGUUGGAAUCUUGAUUAAGAACCUAGAUGGUGAUGAAUUAAAAGAAACAGAGAACAUAUCAGAAUCGAAACGAAUAAAGAAAAAACUAAGAAUUAAAGAACAGGGGAAUAACAUAUAAAAGAAACAGAGAACAGAUCAGAAUCAAAACGAAUAAAGAAAAAACUAAGAAUCAAAGAACAGGGGAAGAUAAUGUGGUUGAGCUAAUUCUCAUUAGCUUACAUCCACGGAGGAACAAAGUGACAGACCUUUCAUUGAUUGAUCAUCAAAGUAAAGUGAGUUUUCCAGAGUACAUAUAAUUGAAUAUUAACCCUUUAAUCACAGAGUCUUUAUUCCCUUUUGUACUCCUCAGUGUAGCGUCAGUUAUUUGCACCAGAACCAGCUGCAUUCAGCAGCUUGUAACAACGUAGAUGCAAUUUCCAUAAACUCACAUGUGAGGCACGUGUGAUAACGGCUUCUAACGACCUGAAUACAAGCUUCCUUCUCCACGUGCAUCUCAUGUGCUUCAUUAAACCAGAAACGGCAAUGUAUGAAGUCGUUUCAAUGAUUAUUAAAUGUACGCAUCAAAACGCUGCAGCUAUUGUCGUUUUUACUGAAAUAGUAAGAACCCAAAACGCACUAUACACAGGCCAUUUUGAAGCCAUUGAAGUUGUUUCACCAGUUACAAAACACAUGGUUUUUCUGGGGGCUCAUAUGUAAAUCCAGCAUCAAUAGAAUCCCUACUUUACCUGCUUGAGCGGGCGAAAUAAAAUAAGCUAGGAACCGUUGCUGAACAUUUACCUAACCAAAGUCAUCGAUUCCGGUACAUUUUUACUUUGCUUCAAUACUUAUCGGUUCUUUUAUUUUGUCACUCGAACCAAACCGAAAAUUUUAGUUUUCUCCCGACAUCGAACCGACCUGAACCAAUGCCCACCCGUAGUUAUUAUAUCCUUGCCAGCACACAUCUUUUUAUCAAUGCCUGUCAACUUCAACGUGAUCCACGUAUCUGGGAAGAGCAAUGUAAGGUUCAGCCAGAAACAUUUUUGACAAGGCACAAGGAUAUUGAUGUUAGGGGCCAACAUUUUGAAUUAUUAUCUCGUGGUGGUGGAGGAAUGUGUUCUGGAGUGUCAUUUUGCCCUCCAAGUUAUGCAAUUUACACUUGCUCCUUUUCUUGAAGGCUUUGAUUUUGCAACGCCAUCUAAUAAACCGUUGGUCAUGGGCGAAGGAUUACGGUUGACUGUGAAGAAAUCUGCACCACUUGAAGUACUUGUUGCUUUACUUCUUUCUGCUGCUUUUGAUAGCUAAAUGGAUUCACGAUGUAAUCAAUUUAAUAAUUUUUUUAAAAUAAGUAUUGAUGCUCUUUUGCUUGUAUACUCUUGAAUAUUAGGCCUUCUUCUGCUUUGAAUAUAAAUGUCUGAAUUAUCAUUAGACAUAAAUAUCCAUUAUUAAACAUAUUUUUAUACCAUUUUGCAAGGACACAAGGUAACAAGUACCGCCUUCAGCACUACUCAAUGUCAUCACAAGUUCAAGAAAACAAAUGAGAAGAUCAUCCAGUUUUUCUUGUUAACCUAACUGGUUUAUUUUUACAUACAAUGUGAACUAUCUUAUAUUACUUCCUAAUAGUGACUUUGCAAUGGAUGCUACUAUUGAUUUCAACGGGGAGUAAUGGGGUUUGCAGCUAUGAUAACCAAGCCCGAAUGGUUUAGUUAUGGCUGCAGGGUAUCCUAUGGUGUUUAUUCUAAUGAUGUGGGCAUUGCUGAGGCUGAGGCCUAUUAUUUUGGUGUACGGUAUUUGCUGAGGAAGUUAAUUUAUUUCCUUUGAUUUUUGAGUCAGAUUCAUUGCGUGUUGUUCAUUUCAUUAAGAGGUAGCAAAGCACUCAUAUGAAUCAAUUUUAUGGAUUAGGAUCCUCUCCUGAUCUAAUUUUCAUCUGAGCAAAUUAUUUUAAUAUGAUUGGUGGUUUAUAAAUUAAAAGGAAAAAGUAGUUAACUUCUAAUCAUCCACUAACAUUAAAAUACAAGUGGCACAAGAUCUAUAAAAGAUCAGGAGUGCUCAAAUCAGGAGAAGAUCCUGAUCCCAAUUUUAUAUCAUUUCAAAACCUCAACACGUGUUAAUACUAAAGUAAGAUUUCAAGAUUUGUAAUAUUUCAAGGAAUCGUAAUAAAACAGGAGAUGUUUUAGCUCAUUUUCAUUUUGCUGCCUGAACAUUUGGAUUGAAGACUUUCCUAACCAUUUGAAUUGUUAUCUUCGAGAUUAUAUAUAGUUAAUGUUUUCAAGAAAUACAUGAGUUAUAUAUAAUUCAGACAAAAAAAAAAGUAAAAUAAAAAGAAGUUGGGAACACAAAACCAUUUUACAAGAACAUAAAAUGGCACAUUAAUUAUUCUCACUUUUAUUCUCACUUGCAACGUGUGGCAACUCUAGAUGAUCGAUUUUAAGGUCAGGCUAUAUUACAUUGUAUGUAGAGAGAUUGUCAGUUUCUCCCAUACUUAAAUCAAUAUAUAUCACUUAUUUUUUACUAUUUUCAUAAUAAUCAAUAACUCUCCUGUCAAUAUAAUUUUAUAGUAUUACCCUUAUUUUCAUAUGCACAUUUAUUGAUAUUUAUUAUAAAUUAAAUAAAUUAUAUAAAAGAAAAUUAAAAUAAAAAACUUAAGUACUAAAAGCAAAAAAUAUAUGUUUCAAUUUGAAUAAAAAAUAAAUAAUAAGAUAUUUUUUCUUGAACUUAUAUUUUUUAAACAUUUUUCUUGUAAUAAAAUAUAUAUUUUAUAUCUCCAAAAUAAAUUAUUAAGCAGAUGACCCAUCUACCCCUCUUUUCCUUUAAAUGUUUUUAUGUCAGGGGAACUUUUGGAUAUUAUGAAAAUAAUAAGAGUGUAAGCGGUGUAUAUUGAUUUCAAUAAGGAGAAAAUUGAUAAUUUUAUUUAUAUGUAAAAUAAGCAAUUCUUGGGUUGUCUCCCAAAAAAAAAAAAAAAUUCGGCAGGUGAAACAAUCAAAUUGUCACGGGUGACAAUUCAUGGGUUUACUGUAUGUUAUAUUUUUUGAAACAUAAUCCAGCCCCAAAUUUAAUGGUAAUGUAAACACACACACACACAUAUAUAUAUUCUGAGCUUUGCCUAAUGAGAAUCAAAUCUUUCCCGUUCACAUGAGGGGCUUAAUGCAGAUCACUUGAUCUCUAUUGUAUCACUAUAAGAUUGGAUCAAAAGAUUUUAUUAGUUGAAGGAAAUAAUCACCUACACCCUCAAAAUUUGUUUAAAUAGUCACAUAAUUCCUUUGAUUUAAAAAAUAUCAUAUAGACCGUUUUUCUUUUUUGGUUCUUACACUAUUAUACCCUAUAAUUGCGGUCAAAAUUUUGAAAUGAAUACAGUUACAAUAUUAUAUAAAAAUAAAAAAUAAAAAAUAAAAUAGCACAUAAUUAUAAAUAAUUAAAAAAUAAAUGUAAUAAUGAAAUAACACAUAUAUGUUAUGCAAAUUAUUUUUAAUAUUAAGUUGUUAUCAAUAUGACAUUUUUUUAAUACUUAAAUCCAUUAAUCUAAAAAUUAAUUUUAAAAUUUAUGCUCAUAUACACAUAAUAUUAAAAAAAUAAAAUAGGAAAUAUUGUAAACAAAAUAAAUAUUGUAACUUUUGUUAAAAUUUGAAUACAUUUAUUUUAAUAAUAUUAAUCUAUGAAACAAAUGCAAAUAUUCUUGGAUUAUUAAUAUUAAAAUAAAGCAUCUAAAAUUGAAAAUAAAUUAUCAAAAUUUAUUUAUAAAUUUUAUUUAUAAUAUUAAACAAUCUGAUGGGUCAUUAUUAAAAUUAUUUUAAUAAUAUAUUUUUUAAUAUUAUAUAUGUUCAUUAUAGACUUUUAUUUUAAGUUAAUUUUUGGGUUAUUGUUAUUGAAGGGUAUAUUUGUAAAAAAGAGAUUUAAGUAAUGAUCUAGAAAUCCAAGAGAAUUAGAAUUUAUGUUAUUGUUUACGAAAACCUUAAGGGUGUGAGUGACUUUUUUCAUUAGUUAAAUAAUUAAUAUCUUGCAUUAUUUUGAGUGGAUAAUAGUAGAGGUGGGUACCAUGCCCGAGCCAAUUGGCUCCUUGUGUAUUAUAUAAUUCAACAAUUGGUUUUCCUUGAGGGCUAAUGCUACAAUGCCGGGCAUUAAAGCCCCGGCACCAUGCCGGAAUUGGAAAAAAACCGUUGGAUUCAAUUAGAUUGAAUCCAACGGUUGAGAUUAAAUUUAUAGUAAAAAUAAAAAUAAAUGGGUUACCUGGUAAACCGUUCCCUCAAAAGAAAAUCCCACAAUUUUCUCUCACCUCAAUCCGAUUUCUUUGCUCUCUCAAAAAAGAAAUCCAUGAAAUCUCAUCUCUCUUUCAAAUUCAUAGUUUUUCUCAUCCCCAUUUUUUCACUCAUCAUCUAAGAUCAAAUCCACCGUCUCUCUCACACUAAUCAACCAAUCGGAUCCAUCUACCCAGGUAUUUGGUUUGUACAUGAGAGCUAGAGAGAGGCAGAGCCAGUAUCGUGUCCGCUGCUUCUUUUCCAACCGUCCACCGUUACCUUUGUUGCACUAUUGUCUACAACAUUAGUUCUUUAGCCUUUACUGUCGUCGUCCUGGCUUUGGCCGGAAUCAUUGCCCCGUGAGCUGCCCCAAGCUGCCAUAGAAAACCCUCAAAACAAGUUAAUUUUUUUUUGGUUGAUUUUUUUAGGUUUCGUUUUUUUUAAGUGUUAUUUUUCUAUGGGUACCCUGAUUUUUUCUUGUUUGGUUUUAGGUGUUGUUUGCUUGUUUUGAGCUCUACACUCUUUGCUAGGAAUACUAAAGAUGGGCGCUCAAUAAUUUGGUAAGAACUUACCCAUUGUUCUGGGUCCGGGUUUUUUUUUUUUUUUGUGAAUUUUUUUUAAUAUUAUAUAUGUUCAUUAUAGACUUUUAUUUUAAGUUAAUUUUUGGGUUAUUGUUAUUGAAGGGUAUAUUUGUAAAAAAGAGAUUUAAGUAAUGAUCUAGAAAUCCAAGAGAAUUAGAAUUUAUGUUAUUGUUUACGAAAACCUUAAGGGUGUGAGUGACUUUUUUCAUUAGUUAAAUAAUUAAUAUCUUGCAUUAUUUUGAGUGGAUAAUAGUAGAGGUGGGUACCAUGCCCGAGCCAAUUGGCUCCUUGUGUAUUAUAUAAUUCAACAAUUGGUUUUCCUUGAGGGCUAAUGCUACAAUGCCGGGCAUUAAAGCCCCGGCACCAUGCCGGAAUUGGAAAAAAACCGUUGGAUUCAAUUAGAUUGAAUCCAACGGUUGAGAUUAAAUUUAUAGUAAAAAUAAAAAUAAAUGGGUUACCUGGUAAACCGUUCCCUCAAAAGAAAAUCCCACAAUUUUCUCUCACCUCAAUCCGAUUUCUUUGCUCUCUCAAAAAAGAAAUCCAUGAAAUCUCAUCUCUCUUUCAAAUUCAUAGUUUUUCUCAUCCCCAUUUUUUCACUCAUCAUCUAAGAUCAAAUCCACCGUCUCUCUCACACUAAUCAACCAAUCGGAUCCAUCUACCCAGGUAUUUGGUUUGUACAUGAGAGCUAGAGAGAGGCAGAGCCAGUAUCGUGUCCGCUGCUUCUUUUCCAACCGUCCACCGUUACCUUUGUUGCACUAUUGUCUACAACAUUAGUUCUUUAGCCUUUACUGUCGUCGUCCUGGCUUUGGCCGGAAUCAUUGCCCCGUGAGCUGCCCCAAGCUGCCAUAGAAAACCCUCAAAACAAGUUAAUUUUUUUUUGGUUGAUUUUUUUAGGUUUCGUUUUUUUUAAGUGUUAUUUUUCUAUGGGUACCCUGAUUUUUUCUUGUUUGGUUUUAGGUGUUGUUUGCUUGUUUUGAGCUCUACACUCUUUGCUAGGAAUACUAAAGAUGGGCGCUCAAUAAUUUGGUAAGAACUUACCCAUUGUUCUGGGUCCGGGUUUUUUUUUUUUUUUUUUUUUUUUAUUUUGAGUUAAUUAUUUUGGGGUUGCAGAGCAAUCUUUAAAAAUCUAUGCAGUGGCGUAUCCUGGAACGAAACCAAAAAAAGAGUUGAGGUUUAUGUUUGGAGUCAUUCUAGGACAGGAAGAGCAGCGCGGAUGAGUUGCAGGAAGAGCAGUGUGGCUCGAGGUAACUCCUCUGUUCUCGUCAUGUAAAGGACCUAGUGUUUUGAUGCUAACUAGUAAGUCCUCGUUUUUUCUAUUAUUUUUUAUCAUUUUCCAUUUCCUCACUUGCGUUCUCAAGAUUUUUGUUUGUUUCUGAGUGAUUCUUAUUUGAGUCCCAACGACAUCCAUCAGUUUUUAAUAUUUAUCAUCAAGGAGAGGUGAAAUUAUUAUUUAAUGACUGGUAUUUUGUAUAUCACUAGCAUUAUUCUUUAUUUUUUGUGAUUUUGCUUUUUAAUUUGUUUAAUUGGGUGUAGUUAUUAUAUUGUGCCUGAAUUGGGACUGGAUGUGAACUAAUCUUAUGCAUCUUGCAAGGCUAUUCAAGAGUAUAUGGAGGCCAAAUCUCUAAGUUCUUUUCAAAAUAUUGGAUUUACUGAUUCCCUAAUGUUCUUUUUCUUUUUCUUUUAUGCAAUGCAACACUUCACGUGAAAUAUGCAACUUAUCACGUAAAGUUCGCAACUUCUAGUAUCUUGCUAAAAGUUUAAUUUUUUCUUACUGCUCUUCAAUUAGGGUAUGAAAUAUAAACUAGCAGCCAGUGCUAAUAAGGAUAAGGAAGAUUUAGAAGGAAGGACAACGUUGCAUUUUGCUUGCGGAUAUGGUGACGUAAAACAAUAUGAGCGUUACCCAUUCUUACUUAUGUUUUCUUGUUCCUUUUUGCUUGAGUUUUAAAGGUAGGGUGUAUGAUUUGGAUAGAAUUAAAUAUUACUUAACGUUUUGUGUUUUUGGUUACUUAGUUGAGGAAGUGCUAAUAAAGCCAAUGGAAAACUAGUAUUUGUGCUAACUGGGGCUUUCUAACUGGGGCUUUCUAGUGACAGUUUGAGCUAACUUAUAUGGUUUAUGGCAUCAAUUGUUCAUCUCCUAGGGAUACUUAGGACCACUUUCUAGUUAGUUUUUUUUAAUGAAAACUUCCUUGGCAAAUUGGCCAAGUUUAUGACAUGGAGUUAAUCAAAUGCACUUGAAUGCUUUAGGUGGAGUGUGCUCAACUACUACUUGAGGUUGGAGCAAAUGUGGAUGUUGUGGAUAAGAACAAGUACUAUCGUACAUUAUACAGCUAAUUAUGACUAAAAGGAAUGUGUAGCCCCUUUGUUGAAGAACGGUGCUGCUGUGUAAGCCAACACCCAAUACUAUUUUAACUCCCGUCUCUAUUUUAUAAAAUGCUAUAUGAUUAAUUCUUUCUACUAUAUUAUAUUUUGUUACCACAGAACUCUGCAGAACAUGGAUCGCAAGACUCCCAUUGAUGUUGCCAAGCUCAAUAGCCAACAUGACAUGCUAAAGCUUCCUGCAACUCCGCAUGUGAAUGAUGGAUUUCGACAAUUUUAUAGGCAUUUUAGUGUGUUAGAUGAAUCUACUCCAGUUAGGCAUUAGGUUUUUAUCGUAACUUGAUGCUUUUGUCAAUGCUCAUGCUUAUUAAUCUGAUUGCUACCACUAAAAUUUGAUAUCAUAAACAAUCUCUUCCCUAGAUGAGUUAUCUGCGGGGAAUAUUCUUGUUAUGGCUUCUUUAAUUCUAGCUAUGAUAUAUUUUUACGUUUUUACAAUUUAUUGCUUGAUUAUGUCAAAAUAAGCACUUAUUUUAGGGUAUCCAUUUUAUAGUUUGGAAAAAGCUAUUCUUAGCCGAAGAAAAUGUGAUCUUAUUUUGGGUAUUUGCUAUCAAUUUAGAUAUUAAUAAUGCUAAACUAAUGCACAUGCCAUAUAUGUGUUGCUAGUUUUGAUUGCUUCCUUGAUACUAUUAAACUUACUUGUCUUGCCCAAUUUAACUUUUGCAAUUUAGUUAUAUAAUCUAUAGUUUUUAUCAAUACGCAUUCCUUUUAUGAGCUUAAUUCAAUUAUAAGAGACUCUUUCCUUAGAAAAUUGCAACAAUGAAUUUUACCCUUUAUGCAGAAUAAAAAAUUUAAAAAUUACCAAUGGAACUAAACAUUUUUGUUGUUUGGUAAUAUAAAAUUGUCAUCGUAGUUAGUUUUCGCUUGAAAAAUUAAACAAAUUACAAAAUAAAUGGUUCAAAUAAUAGUUAGAUUGAUAAAUUAUUACUGGAGUAUCAAACAAUAAUCACUUGAAUUACCAAAUAAUUUUAACGCUAAGGCAGCAAUUUCAUAUUUGUUUCUUAAUAGAUUGGCUUAAUUAAACUUAGUGUUCAACGUUAUCGUCGAAAAUGAUUCUGGACGUUAACAGUGAGCCUUUAUUUGAUGACAGUUCACCAUUAUCUUCUAGAAAUAAGUGUAACUGCUAAUUUGAUUCUGGAAGAUAACGGUCAACCGUUAUCUGAUAACGGCUAAUUGUUAUUUCCAGAAUUACUCUAAAAAAUAUUCAGAAAUAUUCUUUAUUUUGGCUUUAUUCAGGACAUGCAACAUCUAACGUCAAACAUGCAACCGUGACGUCCGACAUGCAACAACUGACGUUAAACAUGAAACUUGCAACACUUCACGCGAAAUAUGCAACUUAUCACGUAAAGUUCGCAACUUGGACAUUAAACAUGAAACGAACGAGAAUAUUUCACAAUAUUCUUUAUUUUGGCUUUAUUCAACACAUGCAAUAUCUAACGUCAAACAUGCAACCGUUACGUCCGACAUGCAACAACUGACGUUAAACAUGAAACUUGCAACACUUCACGCGAAAUAUGCAACUUAUCACGUAAAGUUCGCAACUUGGACGUUAAACAUGAAACGAACGAGAAUAUUUCACAAUAUUCUUUAUUUUGGCUUUAUUCAACACAUGUAACAUCUUACGUCAAACAUGCAACUGUUACGUCCGACAUGCAACAACUGACGUUAAACAUGAAACUUGCAACACUUCACGCGAAAUAUGCAACUUAUCACGUAAAGUUCGCAACUUGGACGUUAAACAUGAAACGGACGAGAAUAUUUCGGAAUAUUCUUUAUUUUGGCUUUAUUCAACACAUGCAACAUCUAACGUCAAACAUGCAACCGUUACGUCCAACAUGCAACAACUGACGUUAAACAUGAAACUUGCAACAUUUCACGCGAAAUAUGCAACUUAUCACGUAAAGUUCGCAACUUGGACGUUAAACAUGAAACGGACAAGAAUAUUCCAAAAUAUUCUUUAUUUUGGCUUUAUUCAACACAUGCAACAUCUAACGUCAAACAUGCAACCGUUACGUCCAACAUGCAACAACUGACGUUAAACAUGAAACUUGCAACACUUCACGCGAAAUAUGCAACUUAUCACGUAAAGUUCGCAACUUGGACGUUAAACAUGAAACGGACGAGAAUAUUCCGGAAUAUUCUUUAUUUUGGCUUUAUUCAACACAUGCAACAUCUUACGUCAAACAUGCAACCGUGACGUCCGACAUGCAACAACUGACGUUAAACAUGAAACGCAACACUUCACGCGAAAUAUGCAACUUAUCACGUAAUGUUCGCAACUUGGACGUUAAACAUGAAACGGACGAGAAUAUUCCGGAAUAUUCUUUAUUUUGGCUUUAUUCAACACAUGAUAUUUAAUCAAUCUGCACACAUAAUUCUCCUUUUUAGCGACUUUGAAACCACAGGGCUGAAUCAUAUAGAUUUCCUCCUCCAAAUCUCCAUGCAAUAAUGUCGUCUUAACAUCCAAUUGAGCCAACUCUAACUCAUAUUAAGCUACCAAAGCAAGUAGAAUACGAAUGAAAGUAUGCUUUACAACUGAAGAGAAUACUUCAUUAUAGUCAAUACCUUCCUUUCGAGCAAAAUAUUUUGCUACAAGCCUUACCUUGUAUCGAAGAGUUGUUUGAUUUAGAGAUCCUCACUUCUUGAUGCAGACCCAUUUAUUUCCAAUAACCAUUUUUCCCUUAGGUAACUCUAUAAGUUCCUAAGUCUAAUUUUGAUGAAAAGACUUCAUUUCUUCUUCUAUGGCUAACUUUUAUUGACCACUUUCACUACUGUUUAUAACUUCGUUGAAAGUGUUGAGGAUGUCAUCAUUAAUAACUAGAAGUGCAUUGGCUACUGCCAUAUCUUUAGCAAGUCAUCCAGGAUUCUUUAUCACUCCUUUUUGUCUCCUUGUUGCUAUAAUAUCAUUUUCAUGUUCUACAUCUAUAGUUGCUUCUUCCUCUGCUGUACCGUACAUCCGCCUUGGCCGUACAGCAGUAUUCUGGAAUAUUCUUUAUUUUGGCUUUAGUCACCACAUGAAACAUCUUACGUCAAACAUGCAAUCGAGACGUCCGACAUGCAACAACUGACGUUAAUAAUGAAACUUGCAACACUUCACGCGAAAUAUGCAACUUAUCACGUAAAGUUCGCAACUUUGACGUCAAACAUGAAACGGACGAGAAUAUUCUGGAAUAUUCUUUAUUUUGGCUUUACUUGCAACACUUCACGCGAAAUAUGCAAUUUAUCACGUAAAGUUUGCAAUUUCGACGUCAAACAUAAAAUGGACGAGAAUAUUCUGGAAUAUUUUUUUUUUUGGCUUUAUUCAACACAUGCAACAUCUUACGUCAAACAUUCAAUCGAGAUGUCAGACAUGCAACAACUGACGUUAAAUCUGAAAUACUAUUUUUUUCAUUUUCAAUUUCUUUAUUUUUUGCCAUUCUAUUUAAUUAUAUUAUAUUGUAUUAUAGGGUUUCUAUUAUAUUAUUUAAUUUCUUUAUCUUUUGCUGUUAAUUAUAUUAUAAAAAACUAUUUUUGACAUUUUAUUUAAUUUUUUUAUUUUUAUAUUGUAUUUUUAAUAUGUUUUUUUUUUUAAAAAUAUGGUGCAACCAGUUUGUUAACCGGCUGCAGCAAGUCUUUGGUUGCCAAAUGGCAGCCAAAGACAGCCGGGCUCUCUUUUUGAGGGCCCGGCAUGGUGUCGGGUACAAUGCCAACGGCAUUGUAGCCAAACCCUAGUUUACGAGUCAGGUUAUUUUGGCUCAAUUUAUUGCCACAUGUAUGGGUUAAAUCAUGUUGUUGGGAGUAAUUCACUUUUCUAUGCUCAUCAAUUAUUAUUAUUAUUAUUUUAUAAAGUGAGCAACCGAUUACAUAGAAGAUAUUAUAAAAUAUUUUUGUUGUAUUACACUCGUUUAAUAUAUAUAUAACAUAUGUAUAUUUAUUUUAAAAAAUGAUACGUGAUUGGUAGUUAUAUUGACUACAUACACAUAUGCUGCUGUACGGCCAAGGCGGAUUGUACGGUACAGCAGAUUAUAAUACCUAUUAAAAUUAAAGCAGUUUUCUAAAGGACGGAACUACCUUGCCUCCGUUACACCAAACACCUAAUUUUGACAUUUUCUUUAAUAGUCUCCAUUGUUUUUGGUAAAUAAUAAAAACUAUAAAUUUUAAAAAUUUUACAUAAAUAUUAAAGUCCAAUUCUUUUACUUACUAUAUUUAAAAGGUUUUAUGAUUAAAAAAAAAGGUAUUUGGUGUUCUUUUUUAAAAACUUAGAGAUUUAAAUAACUAUUUUCUAAAACUUUUAGGAUGUAACCGAUCUUAUUUAAAUAAAAUCUAAUCUUCAUAUACUUAAAAAAUCUAAUUAACAUAUAUAAGCAAGGCCUGUGAACAUAGAAUUGUUAUCCAAAUUAUGGUGUAUAGAAAGAAUUAAUAUUUCACAAUCUAAAUUACGUUACUCUCAACUGCUCGGAUAGACAGUGACGUGUUCAUAAUUCUCUUCACUUUAAUCACAAAUAUCUCAAUAAUUAUUCUCUAACAUUUGUCAUGAUAGAUUAAUUUCUUGGAUUAACUAGUCAAAAGGCCUGGAUAGAUGGCGUAUGAACUAAUCAACAUAUUUUAUGAUUAGGUACAUUAGUGCUGCCAAUUUUAAGUUGAAAUAUAACAUUUUAGCUGUCAAUUUUGACAAUUUAAUAUGCAAGUUUACACCUCUAUAUUGUCUUUGUAUACUUUGUAAUAAUAUCAAUAGAAUUUUAAGUGUAUACAUUAGAGGUAUUAUAUUAGUCAUUCAACAAGUAAAUAAUAUUUAUAACAAAUGUGUAUUUAUUUUGAGAGAUCACAUAUAAAUGGUGGAUAUAUAAAAUUUAAUUAGACGUAUCAUACAUACAUCAAUUACUUGUAUUACAUUUGACGUAUUCUAUUUGAUGUAUUCUAGAACUUCUCGUAUUUGAAUUUAUCUAUUGUCACUUUUUUCUUCCACGUUAAAACAAUUGAAAGCCUUAAGUCUUCAUAGCACAACAUUAUUUUUAUUAUUAUUUAUAUUGAUUCAAUUCUAAAACUUGAACAGAGACCUUUCUUGGUAUAGUCUAUUUAAAGUUCAGAUCAAAAAUCUGCUCCAAAAAGAUAGAGAGAGUUACUCAGAAAUUUUAUAACUGCUGUAAAAGUUUACAACUACUGCCACUCAAAUUUUAGAGCUAGCGGCCAUGGGCAUUCUUGUUUCAUCUCAAACAAGUGCUGUAGCUGCAAUUUUAAUCACCCUUUUAAUCAUUCUAUACACGUCGUUUCUAGUUUCAAGAAAUUUGCUUAGAAAAUGCAUAGGCAAGAAGAAAAGGGGAGCACCAGAAGCAGGUGGAGCUUGGCCAGUGAUUGGCCAUCUACACCUCUUACGAGGGCCAAAACCUCCUUACAGGGUGUUCGACAAAAUGGCUGACAAGUAUGGACCAAUCUUUAUUAUCAGGAUGGGCAAAAAUCCAGCUUUAAUCGUGAGUAAUUGGGAGAUUGCUAAAGAGUGUCUCACAACACAUGACAAAGUCUUUGCCAACCGUCCUAAAACUCUAGCCAUGGAGAUUUUAGGCUACAAUUUUUCCAUGUUUGGCUUCAGCCCAUAUGGCUCCUACUGGCGCGAGACACGCAAGAUAGCCACACUUGGGCUUCUCUCAAACCAUCGGCUUGAGAAGCUGAAGCACGUACGAGAAUACGAGGUGAAGACAUGUUUGAAGGAGUUAUAUGAGUUAUGGCACAAGAACAAAAGCACUAAUAAGAUAUUGCUAGUAGAGAUGAAGAAAUGGUUUGGGGACACCCUCCGUAAUGUGGUUUUAAGAAUGGUUGUUGGAAAGGGGUGCAAUUCAGUGGAUAGUGAAGAAUGGAAAGAACUACUGACGAGAUUUUUUGAAAUGAGUGGUAAGUUUGUGGUGUCAGAUGCGCUACCGUUUAUGAGAUGGUUGGAUAUAGGGGGUGAUGAGAGGUCAAUGAAGAAGAUUGCCAAAGAAUUAGACGUUGUUGCUCAAGGAUGGUUAGAAGAGCACAAGAGGAAGAGAGACUCUCAGGAGAUUAAAAAAGAAGAAGAUUUUAUGUAUGUCAUGCUUUCAAUCCUAGGUGAUACAGAGCAAUAUUUGGGUCGUGAUGUUGAUACAAUCAAUAAAGCUAUUUGUCUGGUAAGCCUUUCCUAACCGACUUUUUUUUAUUAUUUUAAUUAUAGUCUGAGCUCGACUCAAUCACCUCUACAUUCUCUGCAUCCACAUGAGUGGAGUAUUCGAACUUAGAACUACUUUUUCAUGUUUUAGUAUUUUAUAUUUUUAUUUUUAAUGUAGACACACUAGUAAGGUGAACUAAUCCUAAGCCUUAACAAAGUUAUUUCUUACCAAUGAAACUAGACCUUACCUUAGACCUCUUCUUUUUACUCAAGAAGUUUUACUAAUUUGUACAUAACAUUUAAUAUAAUAUUCUAUCUUUUUCAAAACAGUUUACGCUCAUAGUCAUUAAAACUGUUGUACACAUCUUUCUUCAAGAUAAGAUUAACAAACCAGAGCAACUAAUAAAUUUGUAAUAUGUGAAUUAAUAAUAUUUAGUUAUUCUAUUUCCACAUUGAAAGGAAAAAAAAGUGAAUUAAAUUGUUGAUGAAAUCAUCAUCCAUUCAUUAUGUAUCGCAUUAGUCAAUUUGGACCUACGUUUUUUAACAAGUCAUUGGUAAUGUAUUGGUAGAUUUGACAUGGUGCAUUGAAUCUAAUUCUACUAGUAAAAUUCAAAAGGUGCCAAAAAAAUAAGUGUUGAAGUCGAAUUUCAUUAAGUUCCAUUGUGAAUAACUGUAACAUAUGAAAGCAAAACAACACCUUACACACUAUCAAUUUUGCAGGCUCUUAUCUUGGGAGCAGCAGACACCACAACAGUAACACUGACAUGGGUUAUGUCUUUGCUUCUCAAUCAUCGUGAUAUUCUAAACAAGGCUCAAAAUGAACUAGAUAUUCAGGUGGGCACAAAAAGACAAGUGAAUGAAUCAGAUAUAAAAAAUUUAGUUUACUUGCAAGCCAUUCUCAAAGAAGCAAUGCGUUUGUAUCCGGCUGGGCCACUUUUAGUUCCCCAUGAGUCUAUAGAAGAAUGCACAGUUAAUGGUUACCAUGUCCCUGCCAGCACACAACUUUUUAUCAAUGCUUGGAAAAUUCAACGUGAUCCAAGUGUCUGGGAAGAGCCAUCUAAGUUUCAGCCAGAAAGAUUUUUGACGAGGCAUAAGGAUAUUGAUGUUAAGGGACAAAAUUUUGAAUUGUUACCUUUUAGUAGUGGUAGAAGAAUGUGUCCUGGAGUGUCAUUUGCCCUCCAAGUUAUGCAAUUUACACUUGCUUCUCUACUUCAGGGAUUUAAUUUUGCAACCCCAUCUAAUGAACCAGUGGACAUGGGUGAAGGAUUAGGGUUGACCAU